rnacentral:rRNA from 1 species
ACGUAGGUGGCAAGCGUUGUCCGGAUUUAUUGGGUUUAAAGGGUGCGUAGGCGGCCUUAUAAGUCAGUGCUGAAAUAUCCCGGCUUAACCGGGAGGGUGGCAUUGAUACUGUAGGGCUUGAGUACAGAUGAAGUAGGCGGAAUUGACGGUGUAGCGGUGGAAUGCAUAGAUAUCGUCAAGAACACCGAUAGCGAAGGCAGCUUACUAAGCUGUAACUGACGCUGAGGUGCGAAAGCGUGGGGAGCAAACAGGA